GAACAUUUUGUAUUCACAGUUCACACAGUCGGACUUUUGGACUUUUGCCGCUUUGGCUGAUUGCUGCAAUUGCGGAGAUGCCAGUUACCGAUGCGGACGUUUUUAAUUGCAUAACUGAAAAUGACAACGUUGCGCCUUGAACGAUAUUUUCAAUUUUUCAAUAUGGCUGCUGGCAUUCGACGAGGAAAUGUAGUACAUUCAUUCCCGUCAUUUUUCGUUAGAUAAAUGGUAACAGCUAACAGCCUCCAAUUUAUAUUUUGCGAUUCCAUUCCAUCACGUUGCCUGAAACUGCAGUACAUUUUCCCAAAAUGUUUCUUGCAGCAUGUUGUACGUUUCGUCACAUGAUUUCGUCACGUAAUUUAUUCUUUAGGAUUUUAAUGUGCCUUAUUGGAGGAACUCACCAAACUCGAAAAUGGAAACACCAAAGUUUGCUGUGUUUAUUGGGACUGUUUAUUGGGUCACCAAAUUGGAGUGACAUGUGAAUCAUGUGAUGGUGUGGCACAUG